rnacentral:rRNA from 1 species
GUGGGGAAUCUUGCGCAAUGGGCGAAAGCCUGACGCAGCCAUGCCGCGUGAAUGAUGAAGGUCUUAGGAUUGUAAAAUUCUUUCACCGGGGACGAUAAUGACGGUACCCGGAGAAGAAGCCCCGGCUAACUUCGUGCCAGCAGCCGCGGUAAUACGAAGGGGGCUAGCGUUGCUCGGAAUUACUGGGCGUAAAGGGCGCGUAGGCGGACAGUUUAGUCAGAGGUGAAAGCCAGGGGCUCAACCUUGGAAUUGCCUUUGAUACUGGCUGUCUUGAGUGAGUGAGAUGUGAGUGGAACUCAGAGUGUAGAGGUGAAAUUCGUAGUUAGUCGGAAGAACGCCAGGGGCUAAGGCGACUCACUGGCCCGUUACUGACGCUGAGGCGCGAAAGCGUGGGGAGCAAACAGGAUUAGAUACCCGUGUAGUCC